rnacentral:rRNA from 1 species
UUAAGCGACUAAGCGUACACGGUGGAUGCCCUGGCAGUCAGAGGCGAUGAAGGACGUGCUAAUCUGCGAUAAGCGUCGGUAAGGUGAUAUGAACCGUUAUAACCGGCGAUUUCCGAAUGGGGAAACCCAGUGUGNNNNNNNNNNNNCACACUAUCAUUAACUGAAUCCAUAGGUUAAUGAGGCGAACCGGGGGAACUGAAACAUCUAAGUACCCCGAGGAAAAGAAAUCAACCGAGAUUCCCCCAGUAGCGGCGAGCGAACGGGGAGCAGCCCAGAGCCUGAAUCAGUGUGUGUGUUAGUGGAAGCGUCUGGAAAGGCGCGCGAUACAGGGUGACAGCCCCGUACACAAAAAUGCACAUGCUGUGAGCUCGAUGAGUAGGGCGGGACACGUGGUAUCCUGUCUGAAUAUGGGGGGACCAUCCUCCAAGGCUAAAUACUCCUGACUGACCGAUAGUGAACCAGUACCGUGAGGGAAAGGCGAAAAGAACCCCGGCGAGGGGAGUGAAAAAGAACCUGAAACCGUGUACGUACAAGCAGUGGGAGCACNGUGUGACUGCGUACCUUUUGUAUAAUGGGUCAGCGACUUAUAUUCUGUAGCAAGGUUAACCGAAUAGGGGAGCCGAAGGGAAACCGAGUCUUAACUGGGCGUUAAGUUGCAGGGUAUAGACCCGAAACCCGGUGAUCUAGCCAUGGGCAGGUUGAAGGUUGGGUAACACUAACUGGAGGACCGAACCGACUAAUGUUGAAAAAUUAGCGGAUGACUUGUGGCUGGGGGUGAAAGGCCAAUCAAACCGGGAGAUAGCUGGUUCUCCCCGAAAGCUAUUUAGGUAGCGCCUCGUGAAUUCAUCUCCGGGGGUAGAGCACUGUUUCGGCAAGGGGGUCAUCCCGACUUACCAACCCGAUGCAAACUGCGAAUACCGGAGAAUGUUAUCACGGGAGACACACGGCGGGUGCUAACGUCCGUCGUGAAGAGGGAAACAACCCAGACCGCCAGCUAAGGUCCCAAAGUCAUGGUUAAGUGGGAAACGAUGUGGGAAGGCCCAGACAGCCAGGAUGUUGGCUUAGAAGCAGCCAUCAUUUAAAGAAAGCGUAAUAGCUCACUGGUCGAGUCGGCCUGCGCGGAAGAUGUAACGGGGCUAAACCAUGCACCGAAGCUGCGGCAGCGACGCUUAUGCGUUGUUGGGUAGGGGAGCGUUCUGUAAGCCUGCGAAGGUGUGCUGUGAGGCAUGCUGGAGGUAUCAGAAGUGCGAAUGCUGACAUAAGUAACGAUAAAGCGGGUGAAAAGCCCGCUCGCCGGAAGACCAAGGGUUCCUGUCCAACGUUAAUCGGGGCAGGGUGAGUCGACCCCUAAGGCGAGGCCGAAAGGCGUAGUCGAUGGGAAACAGGUUAAUAUUCCUGUACUUGGUGUUACUGCGAAGGGGGGACGGAGAAGGCUAUGUUGGCCGGGCGACGGUUGUCCCGGUUUAAGCGUGUAGGCUGGUUUUCCAGGCAAAUCCGGAAAAUCAAGGCUGAGGCGUGAUGACGAGGCACUACGGUGCUGAAGCAACAAAUGCCCUGCUUCCAGGAAAAGCCUCUAAGCAUCAGGUAACAUCAAAUCGUACCCCAAACCGACACAGGUGGUCAGGUAGAGAAUACCAAGGCGCUUGAGAGAACUCGGGUGAAGGAACUAGGCAAAAUGGUGCCGUAACUUCGGGAGAAGGCACGCUGAUAUGUAGGUGAAGUCCCUCGCGGAUGGAGCUGAAAUCAGUCGAAGAUACCAGCUGGCUGCAACUGUUUAUUAAAAACACAGCACUGUGCAAACACGAAAGUGGACGUAUACGGUGUGACGCCUGCCCGGUGCCGGAAGGUUAAUUGAUGGGGUUAGCGCAAGCGAAGCUCUUGAUCGAAGCCCCGGUAAACGGCGGCCGUAACUAUAACGGUCCUAAGGUAGCGAAAUUCCUUGUCGGGUAAGUUCCGACCUGCACGAAUGGCGUAAUGAUGGCCAGGCUGUCUCCACCCGAGACUCAGUGAAAUUGAACUCGCUGUGAAGAUGCAGUGUACCCGCGGCAAGACGGAAAGACCCCGUGAACCUUUACUAUAGCUUGACACUGAACAUUGAGCCUUGAUGUGUAGGAUAGGUGGGAGGCUUUGAAGUGUGGACGCCAGUCUGCAUGGAGCCGACCUUGAAAUACCACCCUUUAAUGUUUGAUGUUCUAACGUGGACCCGUAAUCCGGGUUGCGGACAGUGUCUGGUGGGUAGUUUGACUGGGGCGGUCUCCUCCUAAAGAGUAACGGAGGAGCACGAAGGUUGGCUAAUCCUGGUCGGACAUCAGGAGGUUAGUGCAAUGGCAUAAGCCAGCUUGACUGCGAGCGUGACGGCGCGAGCAGGUGCGAAAGCAGGUCAUAGUGAUCCGGUGGUUCUGAAUGGAAGGGCCAUCGCUCAACGGAUAAAAGGUACUCCGGGGAUAACAGGCUGAUACCGCCCAAGAGUUCAUAUCGACGGCGGUGUUUGGCACCUCGAUGUCGGCUCAUCACAUCCUGGGGCUGAAGUAGGUCCCAAGGGUAUGGCUGUUCGCCAUUUAAAGUGGUACGCGAGCUGGGUUUAGAACGUCGUGAGACAGUUCGGUCCCUAUCUGCCGUGGGCGCUGGAGAAUUGAGGGGGGCUGCUCCUAGUACGAGAGGACCGGAGUGGACGCAUCACUGGUGUUCGGGUUGUCAUGCCAAUGGCACUGCCCGGUAGCUAAAUGCGGAAGAGAUAAGUGCUGAAAGCAUCUAAGCACGAAACUUGCCCCGAGAUGAGUUCUCCCUGACUCCUUGAGAGUCCUGAAGGAACGUUGAAGACGACGACGUUGAUAGGCCGGGUGUGUAAGCGCAGCGAUGCGUUGAGCUAACCGGUACUAAUGAACCGUGAGGCUUAACCUU